rnacentral:rRNA from 1 species
AUACGGAAGAUGCGAGCGUUAUCCGGAUUUAUUGGGUUUAAAGGGAGCGUAGGCGGGUUCUUAAGUCUGCGGUAAAAUGUCGGCGCUCAACGCCGGCCUGCCGUGGAAACUGGGGACCUUGAAUGUGCACAAGGAAGGUGGAAUUCGUGGUGUAGCGGUGAAAUGCUUAGAUAUCACGAAGAACUCCGAUUGCGAAGGCAGCCUUCUGGGGCAUGAUUGACGCUGAGGCUCGAAAGCGCGGGAAUCAAACAGGAUUAGAUACCCUGGUAGUCCGCGCCGUAAACGAUGAGUGCCCGUCCUUGGCGAUAUAUUGUCAGGGACCGAGCGAAAGCAUUGAGCACUCCACCUGGGGAGUACGCCGGCAACGGUGAAACUUAAAGGAAUUGGCGGGG